rnacentral:rRNA from 1 species
GAUGAACGCUAGCGGCAGGCUUAAUACAUGCAAGUCGAGGGGCAGCAUGAGUGUAGCAAUACAUUUGAUGGCGACCGGCAAACGGGUGCGGAACACGUACAGAACCUUCCUUCGAGCGGGGAAUAGCCCAGAGAAAUUUGGAUUAAUACCCCAUAGUACAACGGAGUGGCAUCACUUUGUUGUUAAAGAUUUAUCACUUGAAGAUGGCUGUACGGCUGAUUAGGUAGUUGGCGGGGUAACGGCCCACCAAGCCUGCGAUCAGUAACUGGUGUGAGAGCACGACCAGUCACACGGGCACUGAGACACGGGCCCGACUCCUACGGGAGGCAGCAGUAAGGAAUAUUGGUCAAUGGACGAAAGUCUGAACCAGCCAUGCCGCGUGGAGGAUGAGGGUCCUCUGGAUUGUAAACUUCUUUUAUAUGGGACGAAAAAAGGCUUUUCUAAGUCGUCUGACGGUACCAUAUGAAUAAGCACCGGCUAA